rnacentral:rRNA from 1 species
GCAAGUCGAGCGAGAAGGUUUUAAAUGAUUCUUCGGAUGAAUUUAAAACUAGAGAGCGGCGGACGGGUGAGUAACGCGUGGGUAACCUGCCCUAUGGAGGGGGAUAACGUUUUGAAAAGAACGCUAAUACCGCAUAAGCGCACAGUAUCUCAUGAUACAGUGUGAAAAACUCCGGUGCCAUAGGAUGGACCCGCGUAAGAUUAGCUAGUUGGUAAGGUAACGGCUUACCAAGGCGACGAUCUUUAGCCGACCUGAGAGGGUGAUC